AAGUCGUAACAAGGUUUCCGUAGGUGAACCUGCGGAAGGAUCAUUAUCAUAACGUAUCCACGUAUAAACCAACUUUAAAUUGAUGUGAAACGUAACUGUUUUAACACCUCGAGAUAAUCAGAUGAUUGCUAUACUUUACAUUGUUUGCGUGAUUAAAGCAAAAACGGUUUAGUAUGGACCUGUGCCUGUAACAAGGUGCUAGCGCUGAUUAUUUGGAGUGUAAAAAUUUAAUCAACUAUUAACCCAUUGAACCGAAUUACUAUAUUCUUAACUGAGUUUAGUUAUUCAUUUUAAUUUCUAUUGUGUGAACUGAAUUGUCUACUUACUUGACACCAUCAUUGGUGGAGAGAAGUCGAUUAUAUUUACGAAACAUUAUAAAUUUCUAUGAACAACUCUUAGCAACGGAUAUCUUGGUUCUC
rnacentral:misc_RNA from 1 species